CCCAAGGUGCUUGACUCUGUGCUCCCUCCUUGCUCAGACUUCCUGGUCCCACUAAACUCAAUCCACUUCCCAUCCCACUUCCUGUGCUUCUUCUCUUUUCUCCAUCCAUUGCCACUUGGCAAGGGAAAAACAACACAUUUUUCUAUGAUUUCCUCACCAAUGCAAGAAGUUUAUGUGUAGCACACAUUUACUGAAGAUUGAAAUAACUUUUGAAAUAGUUUUACAAUGCCAAGCGGUACAGAAAACAGUUUAAAAUAAAGCAUUUCUCUUCUUCAAGCCUCUUCAAAAAAAAUAUGAAGUAAAUGUGGUGAAAGUUGAUGAAGUCUAACACUAGAUGGUUACAUAGGAUUAAUUAUUCCAUUUUUGCUAUUUUUAUUUAAGUUAUAAAGUUUUCAUAACAAGAGUUUUUUAAAAAAUACACUAGUCAUGGGGCCAUGGAAGCUAUCUUGCCGUCUGUAUGAGGGUAAAAGCAGAACUGCCGUGAUGAAGAGCCUUCAGAAUACAGAGACGACCGAUGUAGGCCUUUAUUUCAUUCUCGCAUUAUUUCGCUCUUGAGGUGAGUAGCCGGACGGAUGAGAUGACUCCACAUGGUCAUGCAGGGAUCCGAGCUCCUUCCAUCUUGUUUCACUGCUUUCCCCCAGGGCCUUACCCUCAACUGCACCGUCAGAGCUGGGCUGCAGGUAAGUCUGAGUUCCCAUUCACAGAUGAGACAGAGUGGAAAUGCAGGGCAGUCACAUUUCUUUCUAAGCAAGUGAACAGAAGUUGCAUACAUCACUUCCACUCACAUUCCAUAGUCCACGACCACCUGACCACCAAGGUGACUGGGAAAUGCAGCCUCUGGCUAGGUGGCCAUGUGUCCCGCUAAAGGCUAUUCUUCUGGAAGAAAGGAAAAGGCUUCUGGCGCACACCUAGCAGGCCCCACCACACUGUCUCCCUCCCUCCACAGGAUCCCCAGCUUCCCUCCAUGGGAUGGGGCUUCUGUGUUCCCUCAGCCGUGUCUUAUCCCAAACUUCUCAAUUUCUAUGUGAUACCUGUUUGUUAUGGGCUGAAUUUGUGUCCUCCCAAAAUUCCUAUGUUGAAGUCCUGAGCCCCACUACCUCACAAUGUGACUGUAUUUGGAGAUAGAGUCUUUUUUUAAGCAGUUUUACUGAGGUAUAAUUGAUAUACAAAAAAACCCUGCACAUAUUUAACGUAUAUAAGUUGAUGGGUUUGAAUAUAUGCAUAUGUAUGUGAAACCACUGUCACAAUCAAGGUAAUAAACCUGUCCAUCACUUCCAAAAAUGUCCGCCUUGUCCUCUCCUUUUGUGUGUGUGUGUGCUAAGAAUACUUAACUUGAGGACUGCCCUCUUAACUAAUUUCUCAGGGAACAUGACGAUAGUGUUAAUUACAGGCACUAUGCUGUACAGCAGAUCUCUAGAAUUUACUCAUCUUUAUAACUGAAACUAUAUACCCAUUAAACAACAACUGUCCUUUUCCCCUCCCCCAGCCCCCGGUAACCACCAUUCUCUGCUCUGCUUCUAUGAGUGUGACUAUUUUAGAUGCUUUAUGUAAGUGGGAUCAUAAUGAGAUACCGCCUCACACCUGUUAGGAUGGCUAUCAUCAAAAAAAACACAAAAGACAAGUGUUGGCAACAAUGUGGAGAAAUUGAAACCCUGUAUGUUGUUGAUGGGAAUGUAAAAUGGUGCAGCUGUUAUGGGAAACAGCAUGGAGGUUCCCCCCAAAAAUAAAAAUAGAACUACCAUGGGAUCCAGCAACCCCACUUCUGGGUAUGCACCCAAAAGAACUGAUAUCAGGAUCUCAAAGAGAUGUCUGCUGGCCCAUAUUCACUAAAGCAUUAUUCACAAUAGUCAAAAUAUAGAAACAACCUAAAGGUCCACUGAGGCAUGAAUGCAUAAAGGAAACGUGGCACAUACACAGAAUGGAAUUAUUCAGCCUGUAAAAAGAAGGAAAUCAUACCACAUGUGACAACCAAAUUCCGGUUCAUAUGGAUGAACCCGGAGGACAUCAUGCUAAGUGACAUCAGCCAGUCACAGAAGAAGAUGGGGUCUUUGAAGGAGUAAUUAAGUAAACACGAGGUCACCGCAGUGGGCCCUAAUCCAAUAUUAAUGGUGUCCUUUUAAGAAAAGGAGAGUAGGACACAGACACACACAAAAGAAAAGCCACGGGAAGACACAGGGAGAAGGUGGCCUCCAUGAGCCAGAGAGGCCUCAAAAGAAACCCGCCGCGCCAGCACCCUGACCUCGGACUGCUAACCUCUCCAACGGUGAGAAAGUAGAUCUCGGUUGAUUAAGGCGCCCAGUCUGCUUUACUCCGGGGUGGCAGCCCUGGCAAACGAAACCACCGCUCAUUUUAAUGCAGAACAGCCUUAUUCUCCCCUCCACCGCGCCAGCUCCUGACAGCCCCGCUUGGUAAAUCCUUAACCUCAUUAAGGCUCUCCUCUGAACAAAGGGCCGUUGUCUCAGGACGUCUGCCCGUGAGCGGCACAGGGUCCCCUCAGAGGCUGGGAAAUUCAUUUUUCUUUGAACAAGAUCAAACUCUUUGGCACACCAGUCUCCGUGAGCUGGAAGGUAGCAGGAGAAAGGUCUAUUCUCCCUUCCUAAGAAAUGUCACUUCUUAAGAAGCUGGAAGCGUCUACAGCCAGAUUUUCCUUUGUUCGCGUCAAACGGCGGUUUCCGCCUUCCCAGCGCCUCCGCACGCGGUCCUCGGCGGUCCCCUCGGGGUCACUGAGAGCUUCCUGCGCCGGCCCCCGGGCCGCCUUCCAGCGGGACGACAGGCAUUAAAAUACGGGCAGAUAUCUUCUCUCGGAGAGCCUGAGGGGAGCCGUGCGGCGUCUGCGGACGGGCGCAGCCGAGGGCGCCGCCGAGCGGCCAUCGCGGGGAUCCGGUCCUCCGGGAGACGGCGUGUCACUGAGGGUUCUGAGCAGAGGAGGGAUGUGCUGGAUUUAUGUUCUACUGCGCGGAAAAUAGUGUAUGGGCGGCUGGCGUGGAGGCGGGGAGAGCCCUGGGAGCCUCGCGAUGAGCCGGGGCAGGGGCGCGGGUGGGCGGCGUGGGGCUGCUGUGCAGGGGAAGCUGCCGGCUCUCCACACCUUCUGGCGCUGACGCUGGAAGGACUCGUCGAAGGGAUGCGUGUAGGAUGUGAGUGAGACGGAUCCACGAUGACUUCGAGGUUUGGCCUGAGUGACCAAAGGAUGGAGUCGCCGUGUACGGAGCUGGAUGGGGCCGCGGGUCUCCUGCAGUCUUGUGUGCGUUCAGUGCUGCUCGUCUCCGGGGGAACCACUGCGGACAGGUCCGGGCGGAAGACAGCGCCAUGAACUUUGUGAAGGGUUUAGUAAUGAAACUGAGACCAAGUGGACCAAGAAGCGGUCCCAGGUCCACCGAGUCGAAAGUGGCAGAGACUCUCCAGACUCAGGGAGUCCAUUCGGCUCUCAGGUUCACUGUCUGCGCUGGGCCACAUUCUUUGCCCAGCUGUGUUCUCUGUGCUUCCAUGGCCCAGCCCAGCCCCUCCCUGCUGUUCCCAGAUCAUUGUGAGACAUACGCUGAGGCACAGCCUGCUGUGGAGGAGGCAACCGCCAACUCUUCAUCUCCAGGCCCUUCCGGUCUCUUGACAUCUCUACCGAGUUGUAAACUCAGGUAUCAGGUUAAACUUCGAGUUUAGAAUUUAUCAACUGUAAACUAGCUCCUCUCCCACUCUUUCCCAUUUCUGCGAUGGCAUGAUGAUUUUCCCCAUCAGCUGGGCUUGACGCUUAGAAGUCUCUCUUGUCUCACACCCAUGGCGGUCUAAGAUCUACGUGCCUCGUGUCUCCCACAGCCUUUCCUACAAUCCAAGGUCACUGCUCUGUCACGGCCUUCAUGACCUCUCUCCUCUCUCCUGGAUUCCAGCAGUAACCUCCUGUUUCCCAUCCCAUCUCAAUCACCCUCCUAUCCAUCCCGUGUAUCUCUCCCAGAUUAAUUUUUUCUAAAGCUCAGCUCUAGUCAUGUCACAUUACUCCUUAAAAACUGUCAGUGUUUUCCUGGUGCUGACAAAAUAAAUGCAAAUCCUCACGCUCCUGUUGAACCCCCACCCAAUUUUGCUUCUCAUCUGCAGUCGCCCUGUGGAAUCCAUAGAAGACUCUGUGCAUACAAACAGUAAAGUGCUCCUAUACACUACUUCCUUUGACUUUUCCAUCUCAGGACUUUUCCGUGUCCAUGCAUUUGCUGACCUGGAUGCCUUACUCUUAUCCCUCCACCUCUGCUGCCAUUUGGAAUCCUACGUAUCAUCCAAGAUUUAUCUCAAAUCCUAUCUCCUCCAUGAAGGAAUUUGCCGGGGACCCCCAGCUUGAAGGCUCUCUUCUUCUUUUCAGCCUCUUAACAUAUACCUCUCUUGUGGUAUUUAUCAGGACACUUAUAGUUUGGUUAUUUCUCUUCUUAUGUAGUGGAUAUGAGUUUACAACUACAAAUUCAGAUGGUCAAUAAAUGUCAACUCAAAAACCGUAUAUCUGACUCUGAGUCCCGGUACCUCCAGAUUAGUGGAAAAGUCAAUCUUCCGUAGGGAUGAAUGAGAAUUUGAGAAGCCUACAUGGUGUCCCACGGAGGGAUAGGAAAGAGUGUCACCAGCCUUGAGUUUCUAGCCUGUUGUUUGGUCUCAUUAUCCAAGCCUUCACUGUUCCUUGAAGGGAGCCCGCUGGCUGGGACGUCGCCUCUCUUCAUGGUCUGCUCUUCCCGUUGAAGUUCUGUCCUCCUGUUUAUGGCACUGUUGGAAGCAGGGACAAGCUCCUGCUACUCCUGGAUUCAGCUGAAUUCUGUUCCCUUUCCAUUGGGUGAAAUUUUUCCCCUCUUUUGGCUCUGAAAGACACUCCUUUUUCCCUGCAUCUUCUUACCAGAUAACUAAUAUUUUCACAAAAGUCAC
rnacentral:lncRNA from 1 species